GGAACUGAGACACGGUCCAGACUCCUACGGGAGGCAGCAGUGGGGAAUAUUGCACAAUGGGCGCAAGCCUGAUGCAGCCAUGCCGCGUGUAUGAAGAAGGCCUUCGGGUUGUAAAGUACUUUCAGUCGUGAGGAAGGUGGUCGUUAAUAGCACUAUCAUUUGACGUUAGCGACAGAAGAAGCACCGGCUAACUCCGUGCCAGCAGCCGCGGUAAUACGGAGGGUGCGAGCGUUAAUCGGAAUUACUGGGCGUAAAGCGCAUGCAGGUGGUUUGUUAAGUCAGAUGUGAAAGCCCGGGGCUCAACCUCGGAAUAGCAUUUGAAACUGGCAGACUAGAGUACUGUAGAGGGGGGUAGAAUUUCAGGUGUAGCGGUGAAAUGCGUAGAGAUCUGAAGGAAUACCGGUGGCGAAGGCGGCCCCCUGGACAGAUACUGACACUCAGAUGCGAAAGCGUGGGGAGCAAACAGGAUUAGAUACCCUGGUA
rnacentral:rRNA from 1 species